rnacentral:misc_RNA from 1 species
CGCAGCCGCGGUAAUUCCAGCUCCAAUAGCGUAUAUUAAAGUUGUUGCAGUUAAAAAGCUCGUAGUUGAAUUUCGGGAUCAAUUAAUCGGUCGUGCCUCUGGUACGCACUGGUUUUAUUGGUUUCUCCCUUCUGACGAACCAGGAUGUCAUUAAUUUGGUGUCUUGGAGAAUCAGGACUGUUACUUUGAAAAAUUAGAGUAGUUUAAAGCAGGCUAACGCUUGAAUACAUUAGCAUGGAAUAAUGAAAUAGGACGUUUGAUCCUUAUU